rnacentral:rRNA from 1 species
UGUAAGCGUAUACCAAAGUUGUUGCAGUUAAAACGCUCGUAGUCGGAAUUUGGCGGUUCCGGAUGUGUGCACGUCGUGUGCGCACUUCGCGGGGAUUGCUUUUGUGGUCUUGCGUAGGAUGAGGCACUUUUAUUAGUGAACGUCCUCACGCAACCACUUUUUACUGUGAGAAAAUCAGAGUGCUCAAAGCAGGCAUUUGCCGUGAAUGUAUUAGCAUGGAAUAAUAGAAUAGGACUUGGUUCUAUUUUGUUGGUUUGUUGGGACUGAGUAAUGAUUAAGAGGGACAGUUGGGGGCAUUUGUACUUCGGUGCUAGAGGUGAAAUUCUUAGAUUACCGAAAGACAAACUGCUGCGAAAGCGUCUGCCAAGGAUGUUUUCAUUGA